rnacentral:rRNA from 1 species
GACGAACGCUGACGGCGUGCUUUAGACAUGCAAGUCGAACGAGAAAGCCCUUCGGGGUUAGUAAAGUGGCGAACGGGUGAGUAACACGUGGGCAAUCUGCCCUUCGUAGGGGGACAACCGGGGGAAACCCCGGCUAAUACCCCGUAAGCUUGUCGGGUCGCAUGGCCUGACAAGGAGAGGUAGCUUCGGCCAUCCGGCGAAGGAGGAGCCCGCGGUUCAUUAGCUAGUUGGUGAGGUAACGGCUCACCAAGGCUACGAUGAAUAGCUGGUCUGAGAGGAUGAUCAGCCACACUUGGGCUGAGACACGGCCCAGACUCCUACGGGAGGCAGCAGUCGGGAAUCUUGCACAAUGGGCGAAAGCCUGAUGCAGCAACGCCGUGUGAGCGACGAAGGCCUUAGGGUCGUAAAGCUCUGUUGUUAGGGACGAAGGGCGAAGGGUUAAUAGCCCUUAGCCUGACGGUACCUUUCGAGGAAGCCCCGGCUAACUACGUGCCAGCAGCCGCAGUAA